UACGGGGGGGGCAAGCGUUGUUCGGAAUUACUGGGCGUAAAAGGGCUCGUAGGCGGCCAACUAAGUCAGACGUGAAAAUCCCCUCGGCUUAACCGGGGAACUGCGUCUGAUACUGGAUGGCUUGAGGUUGGGAGAGGGAUGCGGAAUUUCCAGGUGUAGCGGUGAAAUGCGUAGAUAUCUGGAGGAACACCGGUGGCGAAGGCGGCAUCCUGGACCAAUUCUGACGCUGAGUGAGCGAAAGCCAGGGGAGCAACGGG
rnacentral:rRNA from 1 species